AGAGUUUGAUCCUGGCUCAGGACGAACGCUGGCGGCGUGCCUAACACAUGCAAGUCGAACGGAGAAUUUUAUUUCGGUAGAAUUCUUAGUGGCGAACGGGUGAGUAACGCGUAGGCAACCUGCCCUUUAGACGGGGACAACAUUCCGAAAGGAGUGCUAAUACCGGAUGUGAUCAUCUUGCCGCAUGGCAGGAUGAAGAAAGAUGGCCUCUACAAGUAAGCUAUCGCUAAAGGAUGGGCCUGCGUCUGAUUAGCUAGUUGGUAGUGUAACGGACUACCAAGGCGAUGAUCAGUAGCCGGUCUGAGAGGAUGAACGGCCACAUUGGGACUGAGACACGGCCCAAACUCCUACGGGAGGCAGCAGUGGGGAAUCUUCCGCAAUGGACGAAAGUCUGACGGAGCAACGCCGCGUGAGUGAUGAAGGAUUUCGGUCUGUAAAGCUCUGUUGUUUAUGACGAACGUGCAGUGUGUGAACAAUGCAUUGCAAUGACGGUAGUAAACGAGGAAGCCACGGCUAACUACGUGCCAGCAGCCGCGGUAAUACGUAGGUGGCGAGCGUUGUCCGGAAUUAUUGGGCGUAAAGAGCAUGUAGGCGGCUUAAUAAGUCGAGCGUGAAAAUGCGGGGCUCAACCCCGUAUGGCGCUGGAAACUGUUAGGCUUGAGUGCAGGAGAGGAAAGGGGAAUUCCCAGUGUAGCGGUGAAAUGCGUAGAUAUUGGGAGGAACACCAGUGGCGAAGGCGCCUUUCUGGACUGUGUCUGACGCUGAGAUGCGAAAGCCAGGGUAGCGAACGGGAUUAGAUACCCCGGUAGUCCUGGCCGUAAACGAUGGGUACUAGGUGUAGGAGGUAUCGACCCCUUCUGUGCCGGAGUUAACGCAAUAAGUACCCCGCCUGGGGAGUACGGCCGCAAGGUUGAAACUCAAAGGAAUUGACGGGGGCCCGCACAAGCGGUGGAGUAUGUGGUUUAAUUCGACGCAACGCGAAGAACCU
rnacentral:rRNA from 1 species